UACGUAGGGUGCAAGCGUUGUCCGGAAUUAUUGGGCGUAAAGAGCUCGUAGGCGGUUUGUCGCGUCUGCUGUGAAAACUCGGGGCUCAACUCCGAGCUUGCAGUGGGUACGGGCAGACUAGAGUGUGGUAGGGGAGACUGGAAUUCCUGGUGUAGCGGUGAAAUGCGCAGAUAUCAGGAGGAACACCGAUGGCGAAGGCAGGUCUCUGGGCAUUAACUGACGCUGAGGAGCGAAAGCAUGGGGAGCGAACAGG
rnacentral:rRNA from 1 species